CCAAAGUCACUAAUAGCAGAGAACAAACGAAGAGAUUAUUGUAGGGUACGAAACCACCUCAAAGUUAUUCUUUCUGGUCGAUCUAUUCUAGAGUCCAUAGUAAAAUAACACGAAGCUAUUCUUUCCGUUCAAUCUAUCCUAGAGUUCGUACUAGAAUAACACCUUAAGACACAAAUCAACCAAAACCCUAAUGUCACCUAGAUACUCCAAUGUCAACUCAAGUAUCCGUGGGUAUGAUUAUACGAUAUGCAUCACACAAUCUCAGAUUCAUCUAUUCAACCAACACAAAGUCCUUCAAAGAGUGCCCCAAAGUUUCUACCGGAGAGUCAAGACGAAAACGUGUGCCAACCCCUAUGCACAAGUUCAAUGAACCCGCAAGUUGAUCACCAAAACAUACAUCAAGUAGAUCACGUGAAUAUCCCAUUGUCACCACAGAUAAGCACGGCAAGCCAUACAUCAAGUGUUCUCAAAUCCUUAAAGACUCAAUCCGAUAAGAUAACUUCAAAGGGAAAACUCAAUCCAUUACAGGAGAGUAGAGGGGGAGAAACAUCAUAAGAUCCAACUAUAAUAGCAAAGCUCACGAUACAUCAAGAUCGUAUCACCUCAAGAACACGAGAGAGAGAGAUCAAACACAUAGCUACUGGUACAUACCCUCAGCCCGAGGGUGAACUACUCCCUCCUCGUCAUGGAGACCGCCUGGAUGAUGAAGAUGGCCACCGGUGAGGGUUCCCCCCCUCCGGCAGGGUGCCGAAACAGGGUCCCGAUUGGUUUUUGGUGGCUAUAGAGGCUUGCGGCGGCGGAACUCCCGAUCUAUUCUGUUCCCCGAAGUUUUUUGGGUAUAUGGAUAUAUAUAGGCGAAAGAAGUCGGUCAGGAGAGCCACNNNNNNNNNNNNNNNNNNNNNNNNNNNNNNNNNNNNNNNNNNNNNNNNNNNNNNNNNNNNNNNNNNNNNNNNNNNNNNNNNNNNNNNNNNNNNNNNNNNNNNNNNNNNNNNNNNNNNNNNNNNNNNNNNNNNNNNNNNNNNNNNNNNNNNNNNNNNNNNNNNNNNNNNNNNNNNNNNNNNNNNNNNNNNNNNNNNNNNNNNNNNNNNNNNNNNNNNNNNNNNNNNNNNNNNNNNNNNNNNNNNNNNNNNNNNNNNNNNNNNNNNNNNNNNNNNNNNNNNNNNNNNNNNNNNNNCUCUCCUCGUUGAUUCCCUGACAUGUACUCCAAGUCCCCUCGAUUGCUUCCGUUCCAAAAAUAACUCUCCCGAAGGUUUCAUUCCGUUUGGACUCCGUUUGAUAUUCCUUUUCUGCGAAACACUGAAACAAGGGAAAAAACAGAAAUUGACACUGGGCUCUAGGUUAAUAGGUUAGUCCCAGACAUAAUAUAAAAGUGUUUAAUAAAGCCCAUAAACAUCCAAAACAGAUAAUAUAAUAGCAUGGAACAAUAAAAAAUUAUAGAUACGUUGGAGACGUAUCAACAUCCCCAAGCUUAAUUCCUGCUCGUCCUCGAGUAGGUAAAUGAUAAAAAAAGAAUUUUUGAUGUGGAAUGCUACCUAACAUAUUUACCCAUGUAAUCUUCUUUAUUGUGGCAAGAAUAUUCAGAUCCAUAAGAUUCAAAACAAAAGUUUAAUAUUGACAAAAAAUAAUAAUACUUCAAGCAUAGUAACAAAGUAAUCAUGUCUUCUCAAAAUAACAUGGCCAAAGAAAGCUAUCCCUACAAAAUCAUAUAGUCUGGCUAUGCUCUAUCUUCAUCACACAAAAUAUUUAAAUCAUGCACAACCCCGAUGACAAGCCAAGCAAUUGUUUCAUACUUUUGAUGUUCUCAAACCUUUUCAAUCUUCACACAAUACAUGAGCGUGAGCCAUGGACAUAUCACUAUAGCUGGAAUAGAAUGGUGGUUGUGGAGAAGACAAAAAGGAGAAGAUAGUCUCACAUCAACUAGGCGUAUCAACGGGCUAUGGAGAUGCCCAUCAAUAGAUAUCCAUGUGAGUGAGUAGGGAUUGCCGUGCAAUGGAUGCACUAGAGCUAUAAGUAUAUGAAAGCUCAACAAAAGAAACUAAGUGGGUGUGCAUCCAACUUGCUUGCUCACGAGGACCUAGGGCAUUUUGAGGAAGCCCAUCAUUGGAAUAUACAAGCCAAGUUCUAUAAUGUAGAAUUCCCACUAGUAUAUGAAAGUGACAACAUAGGAGACUCUCUAUCAUGAAGAUCAUGGUGCUACUUUGAAGCAUAAGUGUGGUAAAAGGAUAGUAGCAUUGUCCCUUCUCUCUUUUUCUCUCAUUUUUUAUUUUUUUUAUUUGGGCCUUUUCUUUUUUAUGGCCUUUUUUUUAGUCCGGAGUCUCAUCCCGACUUGUGGGGGAAUCAUAGUCUCCAUCAUCCUUUCCUGACUGGGACAAUGCUCUAAUAAUGAUGAUAAUCACACUUUUAUUUACUUACAACUCAAUAAUUACAACUCAAUACUUAGAACAAGAUAUGACUCUAUAUGAAUGCCUCCGGCGCUGUACCGGGAUAUGCAAUGAAUCAAGACUGACAUGUAUGAAAGAAUUAUGAAGAUGACUUUGCCACAAAUACGAUGUCAACUACAUGAUCAUGCAAAGCAAUAUGACAAUGAUGAAGCGUGUCAUAAUAAACGGAACGGUUGUAAGUUGCAUGGCAAUAUAUCUCGGAAUGGCUAUGGAAAUGCCAUAAUAGGUAGGUAUGGUGGCUGUUUUGAGGAAGGUAUAUGGUGGGUAUAUGAUACCGGCGAAAGGUGCACGGUAUUAGAGAGGCUAGCAAUGGGGGAAGGGUGAGAGUGCGUAUAAUCCAUGGACUCAACAUUAGUCAUAAAGAACUCACAUACUUAUUGCAAAAAUCUAUUAGUUAUCGAAACAUAGUACUACACGCAUGCUCCUAGGGGGAUAGAUUGGUAGGAAAAGACCAUCGCUCGUCCCCGACCGCCACUCAUAAGGAAGACAACCAAUAAAUAAAUCAUGCUCCGACUUCAUCACAUAACGGUUCACCAUACGUGCAUGCUACGGGAAUCACAAACUUUAGAAAAAGUAUCUCUCAAAUUCACAACUACUCCACUAGCAUGACUCUAAUAUCACCAUCUUCACAUCUCAAAACAAUCAUAAAGAAUCAAACUUCUCAUAAUAUUCAAUGCACUUUAUAUGAAAGUUUUUAUUAUAUCCCUCUUGGAUGCCCAUCAUAUUAGGACUAAAUUCAUAACCCAAGCAAAUUACUAUGCUGUUCUAAAGACUCUCAAAAUAAUAUAAGUGAAGCAUGAGAGUUCAUAUAUUUCUUCAAAAUAAAUCCACCGCCGUGCUCUAAAAGAUAUAAGUGAAGCACUAGAGCAAACAACAAACUACUCCGAAAGAUAUAAGUGAAGAUCAAUGAGUAGUCGAAUAAUUAUGCAAGUAUGUGAAGACUCUCAAACAUUUAAGAAUUUCAGAUCUUGGUAUUUUAUUCAAACAUCAAGCAAAGCUAAAGAAAAUAAAAUGACACUCCAAGCAAAACACAUAUCAUGUGGUGAAUAAAAAUAUUGCUCCAAGUAAAGUUACCGAUGAACGAAGACGAAAGAGGGGAUGCCUUCCGGGGCAUCCCCAAGUUUAGGCUCUUGUUCAUCCUUGAAUAUUACCUUGGGGUGCCUUGGGCAUCCCCAAGCUUAGGCUCUUGCCACUCCUUAUUCCAUAGUCCAUCGAAUCUUUACCCAAAACUUGAAAACUUCACAACACAAAACUUAACAGAAAACUCGUAAGCUCCGUUAGUAUAAGAAAAUAAAUCACCACACAGGUACUGUUGUGAACUCAUUCUAAAUUCAUAUUGGUGGAAUAUCUACUGUAUUCCAACUUCUCUAUGGUUCAUACCCUCCGAUACUACUCAUAGAUUCAUCAAAAUAAGCAAACAUCACAUAGAAAACAGAAUCUGUCAAAAACAGAACAGUAUGUAGUAAUCUGUAUCAUUCGAAUACUUCUGUAACUCCAAAAAUUCUUAAAUAAACUGGUGGACCUGAGGAAUUUGUCUAGUAAUCAUCUGCAAAAAGAAUCAACUAAAUAGCACUCUCCAGUAAAAAGUUUUAGCUAAUCUCGUGAGCGCUAAAGUUUUUGUUUUUUACAGCAAGAUCAUAAAGACUUCACCCAAGUCUUCCCAAAGGUUCUACUUGGCACAAACACUAAUUAAAACAUAAAACCACAUCUAACCAGAAGCUAUAUAGAUUAUUUAUUCCUAAACAGAACCAAAAAGCAAGAAACUAAAAUAAAAUUGGGUUGCCUCCCAACAAGCGCUAUCGUUUAAUGCCCCUAGCUAGGCAUGAGGAUUUCAAUGAUGCUCACAUAAAAGAUAAGAAUUGAAACAUAAAGAGAGCAUCAUGAAGAAUAUGACUAGCACAUUUAAGUCUAACCCACUUCCUAUGCAUAGGGAUCUUGUGGGCAAACAACUUAUGGGAACAAUAAUCAACUAGCACAGGAAGCCAGAACAAGCAUAACUUCAAAACUUUAAGCACAUAGAGAGGAAACUUGAUAUUAUUGCAAUUCCUACAAGCAUAUACUACUCCCUCAUAAUAAUUUUCAGUAGCAUCAUGAAUGAAUUCAACAAUAUAACCAGCACCUAAAGCAUUCUUUUCAUGAUCUACAAGCAUAGAAAUUUUGUUACUCUCCACAUAAGCAAAUUUCUUCUCAUUCGGAAUAGUGGGAGUAUCAUAAGAAACUCGAAUACUAUAAAUUGUUUCCACAUUAAAAGAGUAAUAUUCAGAAAAAGGGUAAUCAUAAUCAUGACAAUUUUUAUAAAUAUAAUCAGCACUAAUUUUUGUAGCAUAUGUAUCAUCACAAUAAUCAUCAUAAGUAGCAACUUUUUUCUCAUAAUCAAUUGGAACCUCUUCCGAAAUAGUGGAUUCAUCACUAAAUAAAGUCAUGACCUCUCCAAAUCCACUUUCAUAAUUAUCGUAAUAAAAUUCAACAUCCUCCAAAAUAGUGGGAUCAUUACUUCCUAAAGUUGACACUCUUCCAAACCCACUUUUAUCAAUAUAAUCAUCAUAAGUAGGAGGCAUGCUAUCAUCAUUAUAAAUUUGCAUAUCAAAACGUGGGAGACUAAAAAUAUCAUCUUCAUUAAACGUGGCAUCCCCAAGCUUGGGACAAACAUUAAUUGCAGCAAAUAUAUCCUCAAAAACAUCAUCUUCAUCAAACAUAGCAUCCCCAAGCUUGGGCCUUUUCAUAUCAUAAGCAUAAUCACUCUCAUCAUUAAUAGUAUGGAUAGCACCAAUAGUAUAGCAAUUAUCAUCAUCACGAUGAGUAAUAGGAGCAACAUCAUUAGGGAGAGAUACCUUUCUACCUUUGCUUCUUCGUCUUCUUUUUUUCUUCUUCACAUCAUGUGUGGGUUCAAUCCUCUUUUUGGAGGUCCUUAUUAAUGAGAUUGGUUGAAUAGAAGGCUCCUCCUUGUUACCUGAUUCAUCAUAAGAAAUAAUAGGAGAAUAUUGGGAAUUCUCUUCCCUUUCAUUAGUAUUGUCUUCAUCUUCUAUUUCUUUUCUUUUUUUAUGUAAUUGGCAAUAUAAGGAUUUUCAAUGCAAUUCACCGCACAAUACAUAUAAAUUUCUUCUAGAUCAAUAUCGAGGAAUUUCUCGAGGUUAUAUUUUGGAAUAAUCUUAGUUUGGCGUUUCAUUUCUUCAUAACCCAAAAGCAAACUAAGUUCAUUAUGAUGUGCAAGGGAAAUCAUGUCAUCACAAUUUUUGGACACGAUUCGAUUAUGAAACAAUUUGCAUUGGAUAUUUAAAUGACCAUGUUCAUUGCAAAGUUCACAAGUACGACUAAGGUAUUUUAAAUUUUCAGCACUAACAUUUAGCCUUUCUUGCAACCAUUUCAUUCCCAAAUGCUUAUGCCUCUUACAAAAUCUAUUUUCCCUAUUUGGUAUGUACUUGCAAACUCUGUGCACUCCACAAAAAUCGACAUACUUAUAAGAGAUAUUUUCAUCAUAACUAGUGCAAUCAUCAUUACUACUAUGGAUAUUCAAGGAGUUCAUACUAACAACAUUCCAAUCAUGCUCAUCAUUCAAAGAUUUAGUGCCAAACAUUUUAAUGCAUUCUUCUUCUAACACUUUGGCACAAUUUUCCUUUCCAUCAUACUCACGAAAGAUAAAAAGAUGAAGCGUAUGAGGCAAACUCAAUUCCAAUUUUUUGUGGUUUUCUUUUAUAAACUAAACUAGUGAUAAAACAAGAAACUAAAAGAUUCGAUUGCAAGAUCUAAAGAUAUACCUUCAAGCACUCACCUCCCCGGCAACGGCGCCAGAAAAGAGCUUGAUGUCUACUACGCAACCUUCUUCUUCUAGACGUUGUUGGGCCUCCAAGUGCAGAGGUUUCUAGGAUAGUAGCAAAUUUCCCUCAAGUGGAUGACCUAAGGUUUAUCAAUCCGUGGGAGGCAUAGGAUGAAGAUGGUCUCUCUCAAACAACCCUGCAACCAAAUAACAUAGAGUCUCUUGUGUCCCCAACACACCCAAUACAAUGGUAAAUUGUAUAGGUCGCUAGUUCAGUGAAGAGAUGGUGAUACAAGUGCAAUAUGGAUGGUAGAUAUAGGUUUUUGUAAUCUGAAAAUAUAAAAACAGCAAGGUAACAAAUGGUAAAAGUGAGCGUAAAUGGUAUUGCAAAUGCUAGGAAACAAGGCCUAGAUUUUAUACUUUCACUAGUGCAAGUUCUCUCAACAAUAAUAACAUAUUUGGAUCAUAUAACUAUCCCUCAACAUGCAACAAAGAGUCACUCCAAAGUCACUAAUAGCAGAGAACAAACGAAGAGAUUAUUGUAGGGUACGAAACCACCUCAAAGUUAUUCUUUCUGGUCGAUCUAUUCUAGAGUCCAUAGUAAAAUAACACGAAGCUAUUCUUUCCGUUCAAUCUAUCCUAGAGUUCGUACUAGAAUAACACCUUAAGACACAAAUCAACCAAAACCCUAAUGUCACCUAGAUACUCCAAUGUCAACUCAAGUAUCCGUGGG
rnacentral:lncRNA from 1 species